rnacentral:rRNA from 1 species
UACAGAGGUGGCAAGCGUUGUUCGGAAUUACUGGCGAAGGUAAGGCGCUGUGAGGCGGCCUACUAAGUCAGACGUGAAAUCCCCCGGCUUAACCUGGGAACUGCGUCUGAUACUGGAAGGCUUGAGGAUGGGAGAGGGAUGUAGAAUUCCAGGUGUAGCGGUGAAAUGCGUAGAUAUCUGGAGGAAUACCGGUGGCGAAGGCGGCAUCCUGGACCAUUACUGACGCUGAGGCGCGAAAAGCUAGGGGAGCAAACGGGG